rnacentral:rRNA from 1 species
UACGAAGGGUGCAAGCGUUACUCGGAAUUACUGGGCGUAAAGCGUGCGUAGGUGGUGAGUUAAGUCUGUCGUGAAAGCCCCGGGCUCAACCUGGGAAUUGCAGUGGAUACUGGCAAGCUAGAGUGCGGUAGAGGAUGGUGGAAUUCCCGGUGUAGCGGUGAAAUGCGUAGAGAUCGGGAGGAACACCCGUGGCGAAGGCGGCCAUCUGGACCAGCACUGACGCUGAGGCACGAAAGCGUGGGGAGCAAACAGG